rnacentral:rRNA from 1 species
GACGAACGCUGGCGGCGUGCCUAACACAUGCAAGUCAACUUGACUGAAGGAGCAAUCUGACAGUAGAGUGGCGCAAGGGUGCGUAACGCGUAAGUAACUUGCCCAAGGUAAGGAAUAACGUCGAGAAAUCGGCGCUAAUACCUCAUAAUGCAGCGGAUCCGCAUGGAUAUGUUGUUAAAGGUUUACCGCCUUGGGAUAGGCUUGCGUCUGAUUAGUUAGUUGGUGUGGUAACGGCACACCAAGGCUACGAUCAGUAACUGGUCUGAGAGGAUGAUCAGUCACACUGGAACUGAGACACGGUCCAGACUCCUACGGGAGGCAGCAGUGAGGAAUAUUGGGCAAUGCUCGAAAGAGUGACCCAGCAACGCCGCGUGGAGGAUGAAGGUAUUCUAUAUCGUAAACUCCUGUGAGAGCAGACGAAAGACAGAUUAUUAAUCUGGAUGACUGUAUGCUCAGAGGAAGCCCCGGCUAACUACGUG